CUCUCAAGAAGAUCCUCACUGUGAAAUAACUUCUAAAAGUAUUUCAAGAGGUGACUGGAGAUGGGAAGAAUUGCCAGGCCAUAUGGGACCACCUGUGACUAGGACAUAGAGGCUUGGGUUUAACUCAUGGAUGCAGAACCCAGGGAGAUGCCUUUUCAUGAGCUCCAUCCUGAGGUAUGGCGUGGUUGCAUAGGUUCAAUUUUCACCUGCAGAAAUGAAAGCUUUGCUCAAGAGGUCUGCUCAGCUUGGUGUGGCUAGAUCAUGGGACCGUGGCAGUCAAGGAGAAGGAAGCCCUGCUGUACGCUCAGAUGUCAUCUACUUGUUUCUACCAUAAGUGUUUCAUGGAGAGGCUGAGUGGUCUUCUCUUCCCAGAAUGU